UACGUAGGCAGCAAGCGUUUGUUCGGAGUUACUGGGCGUAAAGAGUGCGUAGGCGGUUCCGUAAGUUUGGUGUGAAAUCUCCCGGCUCAACUGGGAGGGUGCGCCGAAGACUGCGGUGCUGAGUGUGGGAAAGGUAGGCGGAAUUCCUGGUGUAGCGGUGAAAUGCGUAGAUAUCAGGAGGAACACCAAAGGCGAAGGCAGUGUCCUGGGGAGUACCUGACGCUCAGGUGCGAAAGCCAGGGGAGCGAACGGG
rnacentral:rRNA from 1 species